GGAAAUAAAAACAAAUAUAAAUUGAGUAGGGUUUCUAAAAAGGGAUCAUCAGCUCCUUCUCUUUGUUGCCUUCCGCCUCCUUUUCUAUGGCCUCUUUCAUGCUCAAUUCACCAUGUUUCUUCUUUGGAUCAUAAACACCUUGCCAUUGGUUCUCAGCUUCAGCUUCUUUUCCAGCUUGCAAGAUUGUGAUCUCCAGUGAUGAUGUAUGAGAUGGAUAUUAGUGCUAAACCGACGGGUCUAGUCCACUGAGGUUGGUAUUCAAACUUGGUUCAGAUGCUCAGGUUCCCGACCGCGCAUAGAAAAAUUUAGAUUCAGCCAAC